rnacentral:tRNA from 1 species
GGGCCGCUAGCUCAAUGGUAGAGCAGAUCCCUCUUAAGGAUAAGGUUCCGAGUUCGAAUCUCGGGCGGCUCA